UGGGGCGUAGCCAAGCGGUAAGGCACCGGGUUUUGAUCCCGGCAUUUCGUAGGUUCGAAUCCUGCCGCCCCAG
rnacentral:tRNA from 1 species